rnacentral:rRNA from 1 species
GAUGAACGCUGGCGGCGUGCCUAAUACAUGCAAGUCGAGCGAACGGACGAGAAGCUUGCUUUUCUGAUGUUAGCGGCGGACGGGUGAGUAACACGUAGAUAACCUACCUAUAAGACUGGGAUAACUUCGGGAAACCGGAGCUAAUACCGGAUAAUAUUUUGAACCGCAUGGUUCAAAAGUGAAAGACGGUCUUGCUGUCACUUAUAGAUGGAUCCGCGCUGCAUUAGCUAGUUGGUAAGGUAACGGCUUACCAAGGCAACGAUGCAUAGCCGACCUGAGAGGGUGAUCGGCCACACUGGAACUGAGACACGGUCCAGACUCCUACGGGAGGCAGCAGUAGGGAAUCUUCCGCAAUGGGCGAAAGCCUGACGGAGCAACGCCGCGUGAGUGAUGAAGGUCUUCGGAUCGUAAAACUCUGUUAUUAGGGAAGAACAUAUGUGUAAGUAACUGUGCACAUCUUGACGGUACCUAAUCAGAAAGCCACGGCUAACCACGUG